GAUGAACGCUGGCGGCGUGCCUAAUACAUGCAAGUCGAGCGAAUGGAUUGAGAGCUUGCUCUUAUGAAGUUAGCGGCGGACGGGUGAGUAACACGUGGGUAACCUGCCCAUAAGACUGGGAUAACUCCGGGAAACCGGGGCUAAUACCGGAUAACAUUUUGAACCGCAUGGUUCGAAAUUGAAAGGCGGCUUCGGCUGUCACUUAUGGAUGGACCCGCGUCGCAUUAGCUAGUUGGUGAGGUAACGGCUCACCAAGGCAACGAUGCGUAGCCGACCUGAGAGGGUGAUCGGCCAACCUGGGACUGAGACACGGCCCAGACUCCUACGGGAGGCAGCAGUAGGGAAUCUUCCGCAAUGGACGAAAGUCUGACGGAGCAACGCCGCGUGAGUGAUGAAGGCUUUCGGGUCGUAAAACUCUGUUGUUAGGGAAGAACAAGUGCUAGUUGAAUAAGCUGACACCUUGACGGUACCUAACCAGAAAGCCACGGCUAACUACGUGCCAGCCGCCGCCGUAA
rnacentral:rRNA from 1 species